rnacentral:rRNA from 1 species
CUGGCGGCGUGCCUAAUACAUGCAAGUCGAGCGGACAGAAGGGAGCUUGCUCCCGGAUGUUAGCGGCGGACGGGUGAGUAACACGUGGGUAACCUGCCUGUAAGACUGGGAUAACUCCGGGAAACCGGAGCUAAUACCGGAUAGUUCCUUGAACCGCAUGGUUCAAGGAUGAAAGACGGUUUCGGCUGUCACUUACAGAUGGACCCGCGGCGCAUUAGCUAGUUGGUGAGGUAACGGCUCACCAAGGCGACGAUGCGUAGCCGACCUGAGAGGGUGAUCGGCCACACUGGGACUGAGACACGGCCCAGACUCCUACGGGAGGCAGCAGUAGGGAAUCUUCCGCAAUGGACGAAAGUCUGACGGAGCAACGCCGCGUGAGUGAUGAAGGUUUUCGGAUCGUAAAGCUCUGUUGUUAGGGAAGAACAAGUGCAAGAGUAACUGCUUGCACCUUGACGGUACCUAACCAGAAAGCCACGGCUAACUACGUGCCAG